UUCGGCAGUGGAGGGCGGGUGCCCAGCGUUUCUUUUCUUUUACUCUGCACACUUAAGACAGGGGUGUCAAACUCAUUGUCACCGGGCGCCACAGCAGCCUCGCGGUUGCCUUCGAAGAGCCGAAUAUCGUUUUAGGACCCUCCAAAUGUAGCUACUGCUACUCCUGCGAAUACUCCACGGGAAGCUCCGGGCCAGCGCGGCCGGCAGCCGCCGACCCGGCCCGCAGGGACCCCCGGCAGCGGCUCAGAGCGGGACCGGGGCUGGACCCCGCGCUGCCGGGCAGGUCCCGGGCAGACCGGAGCCACCGCCGCGCCGCUCUCAACGCCCCUCGACGAGGCAGAGUGACUCAAGAAGCAUUAAUCGCUAGAACUUCAGUCCAUGCAGGGGGAUACAUAAGCAUCCAGGUAAAGUAAAAACGAAGCAAACUAGCAGAAUACUAAUUAAAUCCAUGUACUCUUCCUGUGCUUAGUAGGAAGAAAACGCUACACCCACGAAAGGCAGAAAAUACUAUUGGCAGAGCAGAGGCAUUUGCACCACUCAAGCAAUUUACCCCUUACAUUUCUCAUCAUCUGGCCUUUAAUCCAGCAAAUUUAGGAGCAGUGCUCUGCUUGAAAACAGUAUUCCACAUAAUAUAUUAUAAAGUAUACAUCUUCACCUGGAAAAACAUCCAACUGUUUCCCCAUUCUCCUGAAAUAUAUUACUUUGCAUCCAACCUGGUUCUGCUGGCAUAACUGUUUAUGUGUAAACUACCACGAGCACUCCUCUCUCUGCAAACAGGGCUGCACCAACUCUGCUUUACUUACACAAGGUACGUGCUCUAAACUCCGGGGGAGCCGCAUUAGCAACAGGUGGUACAAGAACUCCCAAGAAGAAAGCUGUCAUCGAGGUGCACAACGGUCCAAGCCAACCUCUCCUGUGCAGAGAACACACUAAUAUUCUGCUUCCCGAGAAAGAGCUCUAGGGGGGGAUCUUAAAAACAACAAAAAAGCACAGCAUAAAGCAGUCUGGAUUCGUGUUUAUUGAAGCCAGUAAUUAAAGAUGUCCUCAUUUUGCCAGCACUAGAAAGCAAGAUUCCACAUGACUGCAUACUGCACCUGGUUAAAGCCAUACAAAUGGACUAAGGUUUGUUUCAUACAUUUGCAGUCCUAAUUGUAAGUUGGAAAAAAACCCAAUAAACUUAGUAUACAGGACAGUGAACUUUCAUUUACAGCAUGUAUAUUGUUAAGUUCAUGAUGUACAGAGCAGUCACUUUCAACGUAGUUAAAUUAAAUAAAAUACGAAAUUCUGUUCAGUUUAAACAGGUUUUUUAAAUGCCAAUAAAAAAAAGUGCAAACUUAAAAUCAAGCAGCAUAACCACAGCAUUUUUACGAAGGGCCAAUCUUUAAACUUUUCUAUUUGCUUCAAGUUGAAUGCUUUCAUCUUUUGUUUUCUUAGUUUAAACGUGAACAGUAGAUGCAGUCACUAUAAUGCAUAUAAAUAUAGUCAUAUAAUAGUUUAAACAGUCUACCAUACAAGUGUAUCUGCAAAUAAAAUGAAGUUUCACUUGAAAACGUAAAGGCUGUUUGCAAUUUGGCCUUUGGUUCCAAUGCCUGAAGACACCCGAAUUAACAACCGUGCAGCUCACCCAAGCUGACAGACUUCGGCAAUCACAGGAUGCUACAUUACUUACGACUUUCUUCCAUAAACUAGGAGCAUUCACUUGCAAUUAGAAACCGGAAAUCCGUUCCUGUUUUGUCACAAGCAGCUUUCUGCAACACUGCUAAGUUAUCAUACGUUAUCAGUUUUAAUCGAUUUUAGUGUAUUUAACAUUUUUGUAGAACCGGAAAGUACUUCGAUUUUAAGUUUUAGCCGUAUUACUAGAGAAAGUGCUUAUCAGGUUAGAUGACAAAAAAUGCAGCUUCAGACUGAGGUUUUCAAACUAUAUCCCAUUAUGAUCACACCCUUUUUCAAUUUUCCUGUCAAGUUUUUUCAAGUUUAAACCUCCGAUCUCAAUUCUCGGUGUCAGGAGGACAGUGUGUAAUUACUUCUGGUGCGGUAACUUGCAGCUGGCGCCCGCAACACCAGGAACCACAUCCACGCGACCCACCAGCUGUCCCCAGCCUCAGGCUAACUGUUAUCUACACAACUGUAUCACUUCAGGUCAUACCGCUGAUUUUUUAAAAAAGUAAAAAAAAAAAAAAGAAAAACAUAGUAUUUUCAACAAAAAAACUGGCACAAGUAACAUACUCAUGUUAA